UACGAAGGGGGCUAGCGUUGUUCGGAAUUACUGGGCGUAAAGCGCACGUAGGCGGACUCUUAAGUCAGGGGUGAAAUCCCGGGGCUCAACCUCGGAACUGCCUUUGAUACUGAGGAUCUUGAGUUCGGGAGAGGUGAGUGGAACUGCGAGUGUAGAGGUGAAAUUCGUAGAUAUUCGCAAGAACACCAGUGGCGAAGGCGGCUCACUGGCCCGAUACUGACGCUGAGGCACGAAAGCGUGGGGAGCAAACAGG
rnacentral:rRNA from 1 species